AUGAAACCUUCUCGUCCGUCGUCGGCGGGUACAGCCUGAACAUACUUUCAGCUCGUUUCCAUGGCUAUCGAACCGCUCGGUGCCACCGCGCGCCGGCCCAAGCGAAUACGACCUUUAAAUACUGAGACGUAAUGCUCACAUCGGUGUAUACUCGGUGGCGUGGAGCUGUGUGCGUCGGUGCGCGCGUGUGCAGCUCUGCGCCGAUGCAACCAGCCCUAGGUCAGUACUCUUUAAUGCACUCGACCGAGUGCAUCCACGUCGCGAUACGGUUCAAACAUCAAAUAUUACACAAAAAAUCAUCGCGACCGCCGCUCCCGGCGUCGUCAGGCCCGGCGACGGUCGCGGGGCCGGGCCCGGGUUCCGGUGCCGGCGGUGGUGCACCCGGAUCCUUUGUCCUCCGCCAUGUUGGUCGGUGUCGAUUUAGCUUCAUUGUUGUUUAUUACCAUCGAUGAGAUCAGCCAAGCAUUAGAGCAUGAAAUGACAUGGAAAUCAGGAGGGCGUUUAGUGUUCGGGCCUGAUGCUGAUCAUCGCGAACGAGAGCAGAGUUCGAACACGUCAGGACUUCUGAGCGGGCAGCAGAAGUGAAUUUCUUCAGGCUUAUACGAUACGAUGAAAAAGAAAGUUGUACAGGGUUGGUGGUGAUGCUGCCGAGAGAGACUGAUGGAGAAAAAAUAAUGACCUAGUAACUAGAGACUCAUACUUAGUCCAGGAACUAAUGGAACAUAUAAAUCGUAGAAUGAUGCGAUCAUUACCACCAAGGAAGGCAAAAAAGACACUUACAAAGCAUCGUAAAAGUCUACUAGACAUACCAAUAUCGUUGCAUCUUACGAGCCAGUUGUACUUUUAUACCUGAAAGAGAGAUGCUUAGCAUAGGUCUUAAAGUAUAUCUAUACCAAACUAGCUGUCCCGGUGAACUUCGU